UACGGAGGGGGCUAGCGUUGUUCGGAAUUACUGGGCGUAAAGCGCGCGUAGGCGGAUCUGCAAGUCGGGGGUGAAAUCCCGAGGCUCAACCUCGGAACGGCAUUCGAAACUGCUCGGCUCGAGUCCCGGAGAGGAUGGCGGAAUUCCCGGUGUAGGGGGUGAAAUCCGUAGAUAUCGGGAGGAACACCAGUGGCGAAGGCGGCCGAUCUGGACGGUGACUGACG
rnacentral:rRNA from 1 species